CUACCACCAUGUACAUCUUGCCCACUCUACUCGCUGCUUCUCUUUCUUCACCAGCAAAGUGCAAAUAAGAGUCCUGACUUUACAGAUGGGAAAACUGAGGACCAGAGAGGGAAAAGGAUCUGCUCAAAGUCAACAAACUUUGUAUUGCCUGUGCUAGCUGGAGAGCAAUGGAUCACUUAAAUGGCAGCUGUUAGCUCUCCUGCAGCUUAGCAUCUGGUUCUGACAGAUUAAGGAAGAUCAUGUUCCUGGGUCUGCUGGUGACUAGAGCUAAGUUGACAGAGAUGGAAACAAAGUCCUGUCAUGAAGGGCAGGAGGCUACCAGUGGAUAAAGCAUGGCACCUGGAUUAUCAUGAAGAGCACUUUCCCACUGAUUAUGAUCACAGGGC
ensembl:lncRNA